rnacentral:hammerhead_ribozyme from 1 species
AUCCAGCUGACGAGUACCAAAUAGGAUGAAACGUGCGUGCUGGAA